rnacentral:miRNA from 1 species
UUGUCUCUUGUUCCUCACACAG